rnacentral:rRNA from 1 species
GAGAUCAUACCAACAUGAAUGCAUCAGAUCCCAUCAGAACUCCGAAGUUAAGCGUGCUUGGGCGAGAACAGUACUAGUAUGGACGACCCCCUGGGAAGUCCUCGUUUUGCACUU